CGUGUAGGCGGGUCUCUAAGUCAGGGGUGAAAUGCCAAGGCUCAACCUUGGAACUGCCUUUGAUACUGGAGACCUUGAGUCCGGAAGAGGUGAGUGGAAUUGCGAGUGUAGAGGUGAAAUUCGUAGAUAUUCGCAAGAACACCAGUGGCGAAGGCGGCUCACUGGCCCGGAACUGACGCUGAGACGCGAAAGCGUGGGGAGCAAACAGGAUUAGAUACCCUGGUAGUCCACGCUGUAAACGAUGGAUGCUAGCCGUUGGGGAGCUUGCUCUUCAGUGGCGCAGCCAACGCUUUAAGCAUCCCGCCUGGGGAGUACGGUCGCAAGAUUAAA
rnacentral:rRNA from 1 species